AUUGAAUGGGACAGAAUAGAAUUUAAGUUUUCUUAAGGAAAUAGUAUGAAAUGUAGAAGUGAAGGAAAUGGAAUGAAUAGAACCACACAUGAUUGCAUGGGAGAGAAUAAACAGAACAACCAUGAGAACAGAACAGAAUAGAAUAAGUAUGUGAACAGAAUAGAAUUGAAAGGAAUUGAAUGGGACAGAAUAGAAUAGAAAGGAAUUGAAUGGGACAGAACAGAAUAGAAUAAGUAUGAGAACAGAAUAGAAUAGAAAGGAAUUGAAUAGGAAAGAACAGACUAGAAUAAGUAUAUAUGGAAACAGAAUAGAAUAGAAAGGAAUUGAAUGGGACAGAACAGACUAGAAUAAGUAUGAGAACAUAAAACGAAUAGCUAUGGUUUGUAGUAUACUUGUUCUGUAUAAACAAGUGCUUCUCUGAUACGCACAUAUCUUUUCUCAAGAUGUUCAAAAGCCAUGGACUGAACUACUUCCAAUGUUGAAACACUGUGCAGACCAAGACCAAGCCAUUCUAGAUACACUGGAUUCAUUUAACAGCAAAUUAGAACAACUGCAACAAGGACAAGUCAGUAUUGCAGAAAGUCAGGUCAAACUGCUACAAGGACAGAAGAAUAGUGCAGAAAGUCAGGCCAAACUGCUACAAGGACAGAAAAAUAGUGCAGAAGGUCAAGCCAAACUG